rnacentral:rRNA from 1 species
AGAGUUUGAUCCUGGCUCAGAGCGAACGCUGGCGGCGUGGUUGAGACAUGCAAGUCGAACGAGUCUGGUCUGGUCGUAAGACCGGAUCGGUACGAGUGGCGAAAGGGAGAGUACAAAACAGGUAACGUACCCCGGACACCGGAAUAGACCGUCGAAAGGCGGAUUAAUGCCGGGUGAUGUCCCGGACCGUAUGGUUCGGGAUCAUAGGAUGGGGACCCUUCGGGGCCUGUCGGUCUGGGAGCAGCCUGUUUCCUAUCAGCUUGUUGGUGAGGUAAUGGCUCACCAAGGCGAUGACGGGUAGCCGGCCUUAGCGGGUGUUCGGCCUCACUGGGACUGAGACACUGCCCAGAGCCCUACGGGGUGCAGCAGUCUCGAAUCAUCCGCAAUGCGCGCAAGCGUGACGGUGCGACGCCGCGUGCGGGAGGAAGCCCUUCGGGGUGUAAACCGCUUUUCAGAGGUAUGAAGUGCGCCCGCCGAACAAGCGGGUGGCAUUGACGUCAACUCUGGAAUAAGCCACGGCUAACUUCGUGCCAGCAGCCGCGGUAAGACGAAGGUGGCGAGCGUUGCUCGGAAUUACUGGGCUUAAAGCGGGCGCAGGCGGCCCGGUCAGUCGGAUGUGAAAUCCCUCGGCUCAACCGAGGAAUGGCACCCGAUACUGCCGGGCUUGAGGCAUCCAGGGGCGACUGGAACUCUCGGUGGAGCGGUGAUAUGCGUAAAUAUCGAGAGGAACGCCAAUAGCGAAGGCAGGUCGCUGGGGAUGUCCUGACGCUGAGGCCCGAAAGCCAGGGGAGCGAACGGGAUUAGAUACCCCGGUAGUCCUGGCCCUAAACGAUGCACACUAGGUGGGGGGAGGGUCUGACGCCCAUCCCUGCCGCAGAAGAAAUUCGGUAAGUGUGCCGCCUGGGGAGUACGGUCGCAAGGCUA